rnacentral:rRNA from 1 species
UCUGACCUCAAAUCAGGUAGGAUUACCCGCUGAACUUAAGCAUAUCAAUAAGCGGAG